UGCAAGUUAGUGAGAAACUGGAUGAUGAGUACUUAGUAAAAGAAAACAUAGCACCAAGUGAUGAAAUGCACAAAUGGAACUUCAAAGGAGAAUCAAAAGCACUUUUGGAUGAACAGAAAGAAGAACCAAGGAUGGUAUUUUCAUCAGAAGAGGAUCAUCCUUUCAGAGAAACAGAUCGAUUAACGUCAGUCUCACUGCUUUCUUCUGGAGAUCAAGUCCUCCAAGCAUGUCAAUAGGAGAUCAAGUCCUCCAAGCAUGUCAAUAGGAGAUCAAGUCCUCCAAGCAUGUCAAUA
rnacentral:misc_RNA from 1 species